rnacentral:rRNA from 1 species
UACGUAGGGACCAAGCGUUGUUCGGAUUUACUGGGCGUAAAGGGCGCGUAGGCGGCGCGGUAAGUCACUUGUGAAAUCUCUGAGCUUAACUCAGAACGGCCAAGUGAUACUGCAGUGCUAGAGUGUGGAAGGGGCAAUCGGAAUUCUUGGUGCGGCGGUGAAAUGCGUAGAUAUCAAGAGGAACACCUGAGGUGAAGACGGGUUGCUGGGCCAACACUGACGCUGAGGCGCGAAAGCCAGGGGAGCAAACGGG